AGGUACUUACCUAAAAAAAGAGCACCCUCAAAGUGGGUCUUAGGCGGGGGUAAGAGGAGGUGAGACCGUCAGGUCUCUCCCAAAAUAAAUCAAAGUAUUUAGAGUAGCUUGCUAGGCCAGGCAGACGCGAGCUCGCGCGAGGUUAAGGUUUUCCUCAUGUAAGCUUAACCGUGUCCUUACGCGUGCUCAUGUCUGAGCUCAUGCUAGCUUAAGCUUAUCCUUGCACGAGGUCAAGGCUGAGCUUGACGAGGUGAGGAGGGACCCAACAACCUAUAUAAAGGUUUGAUGCCACCAUCAUAUGUCACACUCGUUUUACUUUUAGCAUCUCAAUUUCUCUAAAUCUUUAGUACUUUCUUAGUAGUAACUUGUAAAAAUUUUCAAGAAAUUACAGGAAGAGCUUAAGACGCUAACCAACUUUCAGUGGACCGAGACUUGAGCUAACAACUAUCGAGGUUGCGCGGACAUCUGGUGGACAUCCCAAGAGAGCCAACAGCGGUAGGAUUGGAGCGCGAGCAUCACUUCCUUUGUGACUAGGCAGAGACCCUGAUUCUGGCGACCCCAUCGACGCAUUGUAACACGAAAGUGUGAGGAGGCCACGUUGUUCUAUGGGCUGGCUAGCAAUAUUACUGGCUUGUCAUAGUGGUGGGUGCUCCUCCUAUCCUGGAUAAGGGACUGUGUGGAGGCGAUCGACUUUCAUCAGUUCUUGGGCACCUUAUCGGGGUUCAAGCCUAGGAAUGACGCUAUCGCAUUGAUAGAUCUGCUACAGAGGUGGUCCAACACCACCCAUACUUUCUUGCUCCCUUUCAAAGAGAUGACCAUCAUGCCCUUAGACUUCAUAGCUCUUAUCGGAGUCGAUUCAGCGGGGUACUUGUGCCCUUAAAUGAUAAACAAUAGCCCGACCCUCGUCCUUUAGUUACUUAGUUGAUUGCCUAUUAUUAAGGACGAGAAGUAACUGCGAUACGGGGAUCUAAAGGCCCACUAGCAGCCGAGGCGGAAGACAGCUGCAGUGCCAUUCAUGGAUGAGGAGGUGGACUAAUACGCUAGGAACUUCCUGAUAUUCUUAUUCUAGGCCAACAUUUCUGCGGACGUGGAGUCGACUAUUCACUUGAGCUUCUUGACGAGUAUGGUGGACCUGAAUGCCUUGGGCUUAUUCGCUUAGGCUUAGGCAGCUCUCUGCCAGCUUUACAGCUUUAUGGAUUGCGACUGCAGAGGUGGCGCGAAGGGCCAUGGCUUUGCCUAGGUACUGCUGAUGUGGGCAUAUGAGUACCGAUUGUUGAGGAUUGGUGCUCCAACUAGUGCCAUCAGAUACUCAUUUUUGGAUCGCUAGGUUGAUUUGCGGUCGGAGUUCAAGAAUCCGCAUCAGCUGUAUUAACAUCGCUAAAGGUUGAACACGAUCACUUGGCCAGAGGUAAAAAAAAGUUAGUUUUGACACUAUGUGUUACAAUUCUUACAUGUGUGUUUGACGUGUAAUGAUAUGCAUGUGAGGGUGGACUUACGGAGGAGUUUGCCUCAUGGUCCUCUGCUGUGGUUGAUAUAGUAGCAUUCGACGAGUGCCGAUUCUUAAUGGAGAGUUCUAUGUAUCGAUAGUAAUAAUUUGAUGACCGGAUCACAGGCCAGAGGGCUGGUCCGACUACACGCCUCGUCCUAUAUGUGCUACUGUUCCCAAAGGCUGCAAUAGGGCCAGGGAGGUUGGUCGAUGAGGAGCUAGAGAAGGCUCAUGCAAUGAUGUUCUUUGAGGGUGCAGGGAGCCAAGUGCCCUCGUAUGCAGCUGCCCUGCCCUUAAGAUGGGUUGGCCCUAUUGGUGGUGCCCUUAUAGCUAGAGUGCCAAGGCCGGUGGCAAGAGGUCAUAAAAGGGCUCGGGGCCCAAGUAGUAGCUCAUUCUCAGCUUUAAUUGCCUAGUCGGAGGGCAUAGUUAUUAGUGAUCUUGCCACCCCUUGUUCGGUCAUCAUCUCUGUUUCUCGUGACUGGUGCAUUACCUUAGUGAUGGCUCUUGUAAAUCCAAACUCCAUCCAUCCUACAGCCUGCGGGGACCAUUCAUGUAUAUCCUUUUACUUUUUGAGUUCUUUUUGUUGUAUUUUUUAACCUUCCCAAUUUUUAUCUCUUAUGCGUAGGUGCCUCAGCGUUUAUGGACCAAUUGUACUGGAUCAUUGAGGGGUUCCAAGCACUAGCCUUGGGCUAGCAUGUAAACUACCUAAUGUUAUGUAUGCAUUUUUUAGCGUAUGAGUGUUUCAUUUAUUUCUUUUAUUUCGGUUAGGUGGAGCAUUGGUGCCGAAGGAGAUGAACAUGGAGAGUGCUCGGAUUGCUGUGAUUUGGCAGACUACCUUCACGAAUGAGGACUUAAUUGAGGCACCUGAUCCACCACCGGCCGAUCCUAGUGCCCCUGAGCCCAGCCAUCCUCACUAGGCCUGCUGCUUAUUCAUCUUGUCUUUUUUUGCCUUGUGUGGCAGCCUUUUUAUUUUCCCAACCUUAGAUACAAUUUUCAUUUACUUUGCAUAGUUUUGUACAAUUUGUUUCUUUUUUCCACUUCAAGGUUUGAUGCAAUUUUACUUUUUUCUUACUUCAUUAUUUGCUAGAUUUACAAUAUCUGAUUUUUUUUUCAUUCAUCGCACUAUUGCUUCCACUUCUACAUGUCA